CUUGACCUUUAUAAACUCAAUUAAUGUUUUUAUGUAAAUAGUAUUCUUAUUUGAUAAAACAAAAAAUAGACAUUUAAAGAGCUUUGGAAUAAAUUUUGUCAANNNNNNNNNNNNNNNNNNNACUUCAAAAGAAGAACACAAAUUGUUCGUCGAUCAAUAUAAAGUGCAUAUAUAAACUUUACUCAAUCAACUAUGUUUAAACUAUAGAUGAUACAUGUAUGGAAAUUAAUCUAUUUUGACAACGUCUUAGUCAAGUUACACCAGUACUUUUCAUGUAUAUUAUAUAUUACAAUUACAAUUACAAUUACAAUUACAAUUAUAAUUAACAAUGACGUCACAUGAGUAAAAGCAUUCAAAAAAUUUAUUUUCAACUUUUUUUUUGUUUCUAUCAUUCUCUUAAGAUCCAAGCGGUUCACAUACACCUUGUGAAAUAGAAUUCUUUAUAUCCUAUUAUAGAUCUCCUCAUUCACCUAAAAUAAAUA
rnacentral:lncRNA from 1 species